rnacentral:rRNA from 1 species
UGGGGAAUUUUGGACAAUGGGCGAAAGCCUGAUCCAGCAAUGCCGCGUGUGUGAAGAAGGCCUUCGGGUUGUAAAGCACUUUUGUCCGGAAAGAAAUCCUUGGCUCUAAUACAGUCGGGGGAUGACGGUACCGGAAGAAUAAGCACCAGCUAACUACGUGCCAGCAGCCGCGGUAAUACGUAGGGUGCAAGCGUUAAUCGGAAUUACUGGGCGUAAAGCGUGCGCAGGCGGUUUGCUAAGACCGAUGUGAAAUCCCCGGGCUCAACCUGGGAACUGCAUUGGUGACUGGCAGGCUAGAGUAUGGCAGAGGGGGGUAGAAUUCCACGUGUAGCAGUGAAAUGCGUAGAGAUAUGGAGGAAUACCGAUGGCGAAGGCAGCCCCCUGGGCCAAUACUGACGCUCAUGCACGAAAGCGUGGGGAGCAAACAGGAUUAGAUACCCUGGUAGUCCACGCCCUAAAGCGAUGUCAACUAGUUGUUGGGGAUUCAUUUCCUUAGUAACGUAGCUAACGCGUGAAGUUGACCGCCUGGGGAGUACGGUCGCAAGAUU